rnacentral:lncRNA from 1 species
GUCAACAUAUUUCAAAGUACCACGUCAAAACGCACUUAUGACCUCUCACCAACUCCCCGCACCACUUUCCAAAGGCAAAUCAACUUAUCACAUGGUAGUUAUCAUCUUUUGCACAACAACAAAUAUGACCUUUGGAAGAUAGCCCUCCUCUAAACUUGCACAACAACAUGAAGUGCUUGCUGAACUUGCACACCGUGUUCAUCUCGGCGAGCUCAUGAUAUUUAGAUAUUAAAGUUCAUGCG